GCCGAAGUGGCGGAAUGGCAGACGCAGCGGACUCAAAAUCCGCCGUCCGAAAGGGCGUGAGGGUUCGAGUCCCUCCUUCGGUA
rnacentral:tRNA from 1 species